rnacentral:lncRNA from 1 species
UGCAGGUAAAUUAAAUCCAAUGUAAGGAAUUAUUGAUACUAUAGACAAUUUUAUUGAUUUUUUUCUGAAUUACACAAUGCAUAACCACAAUGCAAGUGUUACAUGGAAUUGAACUGAAUUCCCGUGUAUUGAAUUCAACUUAAUCACACAUGCUGUGAGGAACAGAAAGAUGAAGACAAGGCCCUGACCUCAUAGAACCACUAUCUCUAUUCAGCAAGAUUAAUAUAUACACAAGUAGCUUUCCAAUAUCUGCUAUAUGCUACAUAUCAUAUGGUUCUUUUACUUAUAUCUUAAUAUUUCAGUUUUUCUCAGUCUUCUAAUAUCUUUUUAUUAUUUUGAACCCAGGGUGCAUUAGUUCAUUUGAAAGAGUUUUUUGUUUUAAUGUGGGAACACAAGCCAUCAGUUGUAGUCUAUUAUUGUCUACUUAAUGAAAUUGUUUUUGAAACCCUGCCCAUUCACCUUUAACCUUGAGGCCCAUGCAUAGUUUCCGUAUUUAUUAAAUGAUUAACUCACUUACUAGAGGUAUUUAUGAGUUCUUGGCUCAGCCUGAGCCUGCCAGUCCUGGUCGAGAGACAGGAAUGGUUCCAGAAUGACCUCCCCAGUCUUCUGCUGAGACCCAUCUCUCAUCGCCCCCACGUGUCUCCGUUCCUGAUCAUCCCUACAUGCUUUUCUUCCACAUCCACUUCACUCUCUUCUCCAGGAGGUACAAUUGCAUCUGGUCCUCAUUGUGGUGAUAAUUUCACUUUGCAGUUAUUUUUAUAAAUGUUUAAUCAGGUGUGCAGGCAAAAAGAUGAAAAGUGAAGGGUGGCUGUUUCUAAAUAUUUAUUCAGAAAACAAAUUCAGCAAUAUUCAAUCUGGCCUCUUCCUCAGGGACACUGGCAUUGACAUCCUCAUAGCAGCAGCCUAAGACCCUCAGUCCUUGAAGCAAAUGAAAGAACAUUCAAAACAAGCAAGUUUAGAAGGCAAAAAACUUUAUUGAGAAUGUAUGGAUUGAAUGUACUCCACAUAAGAGGCAUGGCUAAAUGAAUGUUCAUCAAGGCCUGAGAUGUGUGACCCUAAGAAACAAGACUGAUGGUUUAAUAAAGAACCAACAAAGACCAAGAAAAAAGAUGAAAAUGCUAACACUGAAAGAUAAAACACCGGCUGCAGGAUGUGGGAGAAAUGUCUACUAACUGUAAAGCAUGUGGUUUGAGGUGUUCAUCUGCAAGGACGUGUAUUGAGAAAACAAAAUGGUGGUUGGCCUAUGCUUUUCUCAUGAAGCAGAGCAACUCCAGCAGCCUGAGAGAAGGCAGAAAGACACAUAGAUUAAUUUAUCUUGCUCAGAGAUACAGAGUCUGUCUAAGAAGAAUUGAAUAUGUGAGUGCUGUCUUUUGAGAUGGACAUAGAACUCUUUCUUCCCCUACCCCAACCCAAAUUUCUAGAUUUAUUUGGAGACAACAAUCUCCCUAAAACAACAUGGUGGGUGUAUGUGUGUGUGUAGCAAAUGCAUUAUAUAAGGCUGGCUCCUCAUAAGUAAUAAAUAAAAUAAUAAAGAUGUGAGUGGAAAACAAAAGAGU